rnacentral:rRNA from 1 species
CCCUUAACUACCACAACCGCACAACCUCUUAGGGCCCUGUAUAGUUGGUUUUAGGUUGGGGCGACCACGGAGUACAACCAAACCUCCGCAAUGGACGGGACCACUCCCUUAUCUAAGAGCCACACCUCUAAGAAUUAAAACACUAACAUAAAAUGAUCCAUGAUCUGAUCAAUGAACCAAGUUACCCUGGGGAUAACAGCGCAAUCCAUUUCAAGAGCCCUUAUCGACAAGUGGGUUUACGACCUCGAUGUUGGAUCAGGGUAUCCUAGUGGUGCAGCAGCUACUAAUGGUUCGUUUGUUCAACGAUUAAAACCCU